CAGCCGCCGCGGUAAUACGGAGGGUGCAAGCGUUAAUCGGAAUUACUGGGCGUAAAGCGCACGCAGGCGGUCUGUCAAGACAGAUGUGAAAUCCCCGGGCUCAACCUGGGAACUGCAUUUGUGACUGUAUAGCUAGAGUACGGCAGAGGGGGAUGGAAUUCCGCGUGUAGCAGUGAAAUGCGUAGAUAUGCGGAGGAACACCGAUGGCGAAGGCAAUCCCCUGGGCCUGUACUGACGCUCAUGCACGAAAGCGUGGGGAGCAAACAGGAUUAGAUACCCGCGUAGUCCCUGUCUCUUAUAA
rnacentral:rRNA from 1 species